CUACGGGAGGCAGCAGUGAGGAAUAUUGGUCAAUGGGCGCGAGCCUGAACCAGCCAAGUCGCGUGAGGGAAGACGGUCCUAUGGAUUGUAAACCUCUUUUGUCGGGGAGCAAAAGACGCCACGCGUGGCGUUCCGAGAGUACCCGAAGAAAAAGCAUCGGCUAACUCCGUGCCAGCAGCCGCGGUAAUACGGAGGAUGCGAGCGCUAUCCGGAUUUAUUGGGUUUAAAGGGUGCGCAGGCGGAAGAUCAAGUCAGCGGUAAAAUUGAGAGGCUCAACCUCUUCGAGCCGUUGAAACUGGUUUUCU
rnacentral:rRNA from 1 species